UACGGAGGAUGCAAGCGUUAUCCGGAAUGAUUGGGCGUAAAGCGUCCGCAGGUGGCUAUGUAAGUCUGCUGUUAAAGAGUGAGGCUCAACCUCAUAAGAGCAGUGGAAACUACAUGGCUAGAGUGCGUUCGGGGCAGAGGGAAUUCCUGGUGUAGCGGUGAAAUGCGUAGAGAUCAGGAAGAACACCGGUGGCGAAAGCGCUCUGCUGGGCCGCAACUGACACUCAUGGACGAAAGCUAGGGGAGCGAAUGGG
rnacentral:rRNA from 1 species